AGCAUAGGGCCCUACACA
rnacentral:misc_RNA from 1 species